rnacentral:rRNA from 1 species
GACAGAGGGUGCAAACGUUGCUCGGAAUCACUGGGCGUAAAGGGCGUGUAGGCGGGAAUGUAAGUCGGGCGUGAAAUCCCUAGGCUCAACCUAGGAACUGCACUCGAAACUGCGUUUCUUGAGUACCGGAGAGGAAAGCGGAAUUCCUGGUGUAGAGGUGAAAUUCGUAGAUAUCAGGAGGAACACCAGUGGCGAAGGCGGCUUUCUGGACGGUAACUGACGCUGAGACGCGAAAGCGUGGGGAGCAAACAGG